rnacentral:lncRNA from 1 species
CUCGUGUCAGAUUUGCUCUAAAUGCUUUGGUUUUUGAGUUAUAAGCCAACCAGUUGCUUCGCAGGGCGCAGCAUUAUACGACCGCAGAGGUUGAACCCUGAACGGUUGGGGCAAGUAUGGACACAACAUUCAAGCUGGAUUCAGCUCUAAAUUUGGAUUGUGAUUAAAUAGUUGACACAGCAUAGGUUUCUGACACAGAAUGAAUGUGGUCUAAUGAACUUAAACAAAAAAUUUUGCCUUUGAGCUAUUCACUAUGCUGUUGAAUAUUAAUCCUCUCAAAAAAAUGUUUGAAGAAAUUUUCUUUUUAUUUAUGAAAUCUGAAAUGAAAAAAAUUGAACCCCCCAAUUUUUUUUUCACAUCCCCCUUUCCCUUAUUUCAAAACUGAUCUCAAUUCAAAUUUCUAAUGAAGUUUGCAACAAUAACUACUCAUUUAAAUACAUCAUAAAAUAUUAAAAUGUAAAAAAAGUGCUUGUUAUUACUGAAUGGUAAAGAUUGUUUUAAUCUAUCAGUUGGUAGUAAAAGUGAAUAUACAUUGUAUAUUGUAUAAAACAAUGAUUUAAGUUGAUUCAACUACUAUUCUGGACAAAGAAAGAUAACUCCAAUUGAAAAUUGCUUGCUAUUGCACAAUAUUGUGCAAUUAGAUAUUUCUUGCUAUUGUGCAAUACUGUGCAAUUGAAAAUAUUUGCUAUUGCACAAUACUGUGCAAUUGAAGAUUUCUUGCUAUUGCACAAUACUGUGCAAUUGAAGAUUUCUUGCUAUUGCUGAAUACUGUGCAAUUGAAAAUUUCUUGCUAUUGCACAAUACUUAAUAUAAUAAUUUUGGAUCCUGAUUUGGACCAACUUGAAAACUGGGCCCAUAAUCAAAAAUCUAAGUACAUGUUUAGAUUCAGCAUAUCAAAGAGGCCCAAGAAUUCAAUUUUUGUUAAAAUCAAACAGUUUAAUUUUGGACCCUUUGGACUUUAAUGUAGACCAAUUUUAAAACGGGACCAACAAUUAAGAAUCUACAUACACAGUUAGAUUUGGCAUAUCAAAGAACCCCAAUUAUUCAAUUUUUGAUGAAAUCAAACAAAGUUUAAUUUUGGACCCCGAUUUGGACCAACUUGAAAACUGGGCCAAUAAUCAAAAAUCUAAGUACAUUUUUAGAUUCAGCAUAUCAAAGAACCCCAAGGAUUCAAUUUUUUGUUAAAAUCAAACUAAGUUUAAUUUUGGACCCUUUGGACCUUAAUGUAGACCAAUUUGAAAACGGGACCAAAAAUUUAGAAUCUACAUACACAGUUAGAUUCGGCAUAUCAACAAAGAACCCCAAUUAUUCAAUUUUUGAUGAAAUCAAACAAAGUUUAAUUUUGGACCCUUUGGGCCCUUUAUUCCUAAACUGUUGGGACCAAAACUCCCAAAAUCAAUACCAACCUUCCUUUUAUGGUCAUAAACCUUGUGUUUAAAUUUCAUACAUUUCUAUUUACUUAUACUAAAGUUAUGGUGCGAAAACCAAGAAAAAUGCUUAUUUGGGUCCCUUUUUGGCCCCUAAUUCCUAAACUGUUGGGACCUCAACUCCCAAAAUCAAUACCAACCUUCCUUUUGUGGUCAUAAACAUUGUGUUUAAAUUUCAUUGAUU